rnacentral:lncRNA from 1 species
CUCCCAGGGACAGCCCCAGCCGCGAGGGGUGCCCUCCAGGUCUUCUGCGGAUGUGGCCUUCCUGUCAACCAUCUGCUAGGUUGGCUGCAUCCAGUGACGGGGUGUCCGAAGUUCUUGGGCUGCCGAGGUCAGUGGGCCCCAUGCGUAGCCUGGACCCAGAACCUUCCCUCUGGUGAAGGAUGUCCAGGUCUGCACUGCUGGUGGAGGGACCCCGGGACCCUCUGCGGGAGACGAGUCCAGGCUUCCCACCGCCCUCUGACUGAGCCUUCCAGAAGUACCCGUGGGAUGAAGGAGAAAGGAAUGAGCAGUGGAGACUCUUCCCUACUCAAAGCAGACACGCAGUCGUUUUGCUGACGUGAAGGCCGUUCCACAGUCCCAGCUUUUCCUUCUCUUGCUGCGGCCGCUGCAAGCCUCCUCCAUUGCCAUGAGCCCCCUCGAAGGCAGGGCCACUGAACCCAGAGACUAAUUCCCCAGGCCUUGGCGACGAAGCAGAUCCACGCCGUCUCAGCGGGCGUGGGGCUCUGUCAGGCGGAGUUGAAACCGUUUCUACCAACACCGGUCACUGGAUGUCCCCC